rnacentral:tRNA from 3 species
GCGCCCGUAGCUCAACGGAUAGAGCAUCUGACUACGGAUCAGAAGGUUGGGGGUUCGAGUCCCUCCGGGCGCGCCA